ACAAGCUUCAGAUACCGGUCACGCGCGCAAGGCGUUCCCAUACUGUUAUGCUAAAUGCAACGUCUCGUUCCCUUCUCAGGGAACAGGGUUACAUGCGUAACCCCGACGUUCUGUUAUAGUAUGGAAAGCCAAUUGGUAAAUAGUCUGCUUAUUUUGUUUCUUUCCUUACAUUGUAUGAAAUCUAUUUCAUGUUCAGAUGAACAUUUCCAUAUAAGUAUAAAGGCAAGAAAAGCUGGAGGUGUCAGUAAGUAGCGAUGUUGGGUACAAGUGAAGUGGCUGGGCAUGCGCGUACACGCACACACACGCACACACACUCUCCACGAUGCUGUGAGAAGUGUGGGAGAGAAGCUGGCUCUUGGGUUUGCUUGGUAGAUUUCACGUCAUCCAGUGUGUACAUCUAAAAUGUUGGGAGUUUCAACUCUUGGGGAUUGAAGGUGUCGUGCGGUGCAGGAGCUCAUAAUUUUGAGAGUGUUAUUUCAUUUUUAUUUCUUUCAAACGAUGUUCGACAUGAGAUAUAUCUAACUGAUGACAUACCCGUGAACCAGCCAUACAGGAGAAUUCCCCCUAACCAGUAUCAGGAGGUCAGAGAGCACAUUGCUAGGUUGUUGAAGGGUGUUAUUCAGUAGAGUGUCAGUGCUUAUGCCUCUCCAAUGGUCCUAGUGCGCAAUGCUGAUGGCACACUAAGGUUAUGUGUGGAUUACAGGAAUCUCAAUGCCAAAACAAGGCGUGAUGCAUUUCCUUUACCCAGAAUUGACGAGAGUUUUGAUGCUCUUAGCAGAUUCCCUCUCAUUCUCUAUCGCUCUUUGGAACUGCCAAUCUGCCGUCAACAAGGCAGAUUUCAUUCCUGCCUUUGCAACCCACUCCAACCUCGGUGUGCUGGCUCUGACUGAGACCUGGAUCCAUACUGAGAACACUGCCACACCCGCUGCCCUAGCCUCCAACUUCAACUUCUCCUAUACCUCGUGUCCCAACAGACGAGGGGAUGGUACAGGUCAACUGGGGAAGUUCAGCGAUGAGUUUGACAUGCUACUGUCCACCAUGGAACUCCUCUUGUAGUAAUGAGUGACUUCAGCAUUCAACUAGACAAGCCACAAGCAGCCGACUUUCUUGCUCUCCUUCCCACAUUUGACCUCAAGCUGUACACCACACCAGCACCUCACAAAGCUGGCAAACAGCUCGACCUCAUCCUCACACAACAACCUCCUGGACAUCAAGCAGUCUGCCUUCAAUAGCAAUCACUCCACGGAGACUGCUCUGCUUUCCAUCACUGAAGCCUUAUGACUAGCAAGAGCAAUCCCUAGAUCAUCUGUCCUCAUCCUACUCGACCUCUCUGCUGCUUUCGACACUGUGAAUCAUCAGAUCCUCCUGUCAACUCACUCUAGCCUGGGCAUCACCAGAAUGGCUCUGUGCUGGAUUGAAUCCUAUCUCUCAGACAGAUCCUUCAAGCCUGACGAUCCAUCCAUCUCUGCAUGAAUCUCUGCUUGCCUGUCAGACAUCUCGGUCUGGAUGAGGGAUCACCACCUUAAGCUCAACCUGGCAAAAUCUGAGCUUCUUGUCAUCCCAGCCUGCCCCUCAAUCAACCACAACCCCACUGUACGGCUUGGCUCAACCACACUCAAGCCAACCAGGUUAGCCAGGAACCUUGGGGUGAUUCUUGAUGACAGCUUGACCUUUACAGACCACAUCUCAACAACUGCAUGGUCCUGUAGGUUCAUCCUGUACAACAUCAAGAAAAUCAGACCCUACCUCACCGAACAGGCUACACAGCUAUUAGUCCAACCUCUUGUUAUCUCAAAACUGGACUACUGCAAGUCACUACUCUUGGGCAUCCCAGCCAGCUCCAUCAAACCCCUUCAGAUGAUUCAGAAUGCAGCAGCACACCUCGUCUUCAGCCAGCCGAAGAGAACCCAUGUCACACCCCUACACGUACAAGACCUUGUCUGGAACAGCACCCUCCUACCUCAACACUCUCCUGAAGGCUUAUGUUCCCUCAAGCAAUCUGUGAUCAAUCAACGACCGAUGCUUAGUAGUAUGUACUCAGCUUGGCUCAAGGUCCCUUACAAGAACCUACAAACUAACUGGUCCUCAGUGGUGGAAUGAACUUCCAACCUCAAUCCAGACCGCAGAAUCUGUCAUCAUCUUCAAGAAACAGCUAAGAACACCUAACCAACCCCUAAAAACAAAUUACUCUGGCACUUACACCUCUACUCUGCGCACUUUGCUUCUUCUGGAACUCAAUUAAUGGAUCUUGUAUGGUAGCAUUACUUGUAUUGUUCUCUGCUUGAUAUCGCUUUGCUUGUAUUUUCUCAUUUGUAAGUCGCUUUGGAUAAAACUGUCUGCUAAAUGAAUAAAUGUAAAUGUAAAUGUUAUUUUUUUUUGUACUCCUCUCCUGGGGUACAAAAAGCUCCACAGGCUCUGUCAGCACUUUACAGACCAUGGUUUCAGCAGUCAGCAGUCAAAACCAGUAGAUGUCAAGAAAAUCUUACAGAAACAGCUGGUCUUUAUUUGGGGUUAAUCAGAAUACUUUCAUUGAUAUCAGCUAUAUGAUAUUCAGAGUUUGUAGUAUCAUGCUACAUUUACUUCGCUACAUUUACUUUAACUUUUUGAAAAAAAUGUACUUUUGUUUAACUGGCCAGAUUUAUACUUACUCUUAAGUAAUUUUUUUCGGUGGCCUUCUUCUGUUACUGUUAAAUGUUAAUGGAUAUAUGUAGUUUUAAAAAAUAAUCGUUUAUCGUUCAUGUAUAAUGAGGUUGCGGGUCUAAUAAUGAGGUUUGCGGACGCAAAAAACCCUCACUUUUUUCACGGGCUAAGUCCUGGAAGAUAAUGGCCAAAGGGGGGGUGGGUGUCCUGCCUCCAUCGACAGGCUUGCUUCAUUCCCCUCUUUGGCCAUUAUCUUCCAGGUCUUAGCCCACGAAAAAUGAUGUCAAGACACACACACACACACACACACACACACACACACACACACUCUCCUGUCCAUAGUCUGUUCUUUUGUUCGCUGUUGUCUUGUUUAAAUGCAGACACUGCCGAGUUUGUGUUAAAAAUUACAGUCAACUGUUGGGAAGAUGUUUGUUUUUUGGGGUGUGUGUGCGAGAUUUUGUGUUGAAAAUGACAGGUUAUGUGUUAUUGUACACAUCACAGGACGGGGAUAUUGAACCCAGGUUUAAUAGCAUAUAAACAGAACAGACAGACUUUCAAGGAGCGGUGUGAAUUACAGUUCUCCAUGUAAUCUGAGAUUCAGGAUAUUCCCUUCAUUGGAAUCAGAUUGGAAGUAGCUAGUAACUUGCUAUUUGAGUAGUCUUUUCAUCUGAUAAUUUAUUACUCUUACUCAAGUAAUUAUUAAAAUUAUUAUUUUUACUGUUACAUAAAUAAUUAUUUUUUAUGAGUAUUUUUACUUGCUGACUAAAAUAUUUGUCUACUCUGCCCACCUCUUAUGAUAAUUCUUUUUAUCAACUGUGAUUGGUUCAUUCUGAACACAGCCACAUCCCCAAUUAUAAAACGGUGUGCGUACUUAUGCAACAAGGAUAUUGUAACUUUUUUUAUUCCACUGUUUGUCCCUAAAAUGUUUCUGAUUUCUGUUUUUUCACUUAAUUUCUAUACACUGUAAUUUCACAUUGAAGGUGGGAAAUGUUUUGAUAUUAUUUAACGUCGUGGUUUAAUUUUUUUUCAUCAUAAAAACUUCUAAUUUUAA